rnacentral:rRNA from 1 species
UACAGAGGUCUCAAGCGUUGUUCGGAUUCAUUGGGCGUAAAGGGUGUGUAGGUGGCGCGCUAAGUCGGGUGUGAAAUUUCGGAGCUUAACUCCGAAACUGCAUUUGAUACUGGCGUGCUUGAGGACUGGAGAGGAGACUGGAAUUUACGGUGUAGCAGUGAAAUGCGUAGAUAUCAGGAGGAAUACCGAUGGCGAAGGCAGGUCUCUGGGCUAUAACUGACGCUCAUGCACGAAAGCGUGGGGAGCAAACAGG